rnacentral:rRNA from 1 species
UACGGGAGGCAGCAGUGGGGAAUAUUGCACAAUGGGCGCAAGCCUGAUGCAGCCAUGCCGCGUGUAUGAAAAAGGCCUUCGGGUUGUAAAGUACUUUCAGUCGUGAGGAAGGUGUUAAGGUUAAUAACCUUAGCAAUUGACGUUAGCGACAGAAGAAGCACCGGCUAACUCCGUGCCAGCAGCCGCGGUAAUACGGAGGGUGCGAGCGUUAAUCGGAAUUACUGGGCGUAAAGGGCACGCAGGCGGUUAAUUAAGUUGGAUGUGAAAUCCCCGGGCUUAACCUGGGAAUGGCAUUCAAGACUGGUUAGCUAGAGUCUUGUAGAGGGGGUAGAAUUCCAUGUGUAGCGGUGAAAUGCGUAGAGAUGUGGAGGAAUACCGGUGGCGAAGGCGGCCCCUGGACAAAGACUGACGCUCAUGUGCGAAAGCGUGGGGAGCAAACGAGGGAUUAGAUACCCGU